GCAUAUCAAUAAGCGGAGGAAAAGAAACCAACAGGGAUUGCCUUAGUAACGGCGAGUGAAGCGGCAAGAGCUCAAAUUUGAAAUCUGGCGUCUUUGGGCGUCCGAAUUGUAAUUUGUAGAGGUAUCUUUGGAAACGGCCCUGGCAUAUGUUCCUUGGAACAGGACGUCAUAGAGGGUGAGAACCCCGUAUGUGGUUGGGUGUCCGUUUCUUUGUAAAGUGCCUUCGACGAGUCGAGUUGUUUGGGAAUGCAGCUCUAAGUGGGUGGUAAAUUCCAUCUAAAGCUAAAUAUUGGCGAGAGACCGAUAGCGAACAAGUACAGUGAUGGAAAGAUGAAAAGAACUUUGAAAAGAGAGUGAAAAAGUACGUGAAAUUGUUGAAAGGGAAGCGUUUAAAACCAGACACGGUUAAAAGAUGAUCAUCGUCCCUCGUGGGCUGUGCUAUCGCUUUUUUCUGGCCAGCAUCAGUUUGAGUGGUGGGAUAAGAGCAUUGGAAUGUAGCUCUUCGGAGUGUUAUAGCCUUUGUUGAUACCGCUACUUGGACUGAGGUUCUUCACUGAACGCUGGCGUAAUGGUUUUAAGCGGCCCGUCUUGAAACACGGACCAAGGAGUCUAACGUCUAUGCGAGUGUUUGGGUGUAAAACCCGUACGCGUAAUGAAAGUGAACGUAGGUGAGAGCCCUCACGGGUGCAUCAUCGACCGAUCCUGAUGUUCUCGGAUGGAUUUGAGUAAGAGCAUAGCUGUUGGGACCCGAAAGAUGGUGAACUAUGCCUGAAUAGGGUGAAGCCAGAGGAAACUCUGGUGGAGGCUCGUAGCGGUUCUGACGUGCAAAUCGAUCGUCAAAUUUGGGUAUAGGGGCGAAAGACUAAUCGAACCAUCUAGUAGCUGGUUCCUGCCGAG
rnacentral:rRNA from 1 species